UUUCUCCCCAAAGAGAUGAUGUUUCCCAAUAGCGCAUGCAGGUGGACCCUAACCUGGCACACACAGGCCCUCUUGGCCCUCCAGCACUGGUGCCUGGGCUCUACCAUUUGAUUGCACCCGUGUCUGUCUGUGCUAGGGCUCUGUCCUGGUCCUGUCACCCCUGAGGUAUCCUUGGAGCAUAGGGAUGCCAAAGAGCCCCAUGUGAUCUUGUCAACUCUGGGUAAACUCAAGAGGCUCCUUGGGUUUCUGAGCUGAGGGCCAAGGCAGCCCAUGUCUGGGCUUCAUUACAAAGAAAAGUGGCAAUCAAUGGGCAAUGUCCAUUAGGAGUUUUUGGAAAGGGGAUCUGGGGCGACAAACCUAGAAAGGGAUGAGGCAAAUAGUACAUCGCUGCCUUAGAUGGCUGCUUUGCUAUCGGGCUGCACUGUCUCACCCGCCAGGUGGCCGAGGAGGCCGUCGGAGGACCACAAAGCUGCAAGUGGCUUUCCUGCGGCCUGCAGGGAACAGGUGGAGGACACUUGGAAGGGCACCCACCCCGGGUCUCACAGGAGUCUGCACCCGCAGGUCACACUGGCAUUAGCCCCUCAUCCUCUGGAGUUCAUCUCAUCCAGGCGAAGACAGCUGGCUGGCCUCAGAGGGUGAGACGCAACUCGAGGGUAAAAACAUUUUUACAGGGCAUGGACACAAAAGUGGCCUUUACCUCUGGAUAAGCUUUUAAAACUUCCCAUUUACAUGUAAAGGUGUACUUUCUAUGUGCCACCAAGAAACCUAAAGUGAGUAAAAGGUGUUUCACUUUAAUCAAGUUCCCCAAUGAGGGGGCACAGCUCUGAAAAGCACUGUCACAACAGGAGAUUCGAGGGUGCAUGCAAAGCAAUGUUUCUAGAAAAUGCCAAAGGAAACAGACACAACUCCAGUGUGGACUCCCGCUUCCCUGCACUGCUGCUCCAUCCUCAGGGCGGAGGCCACAUCGUCCAGCUAGCUGUGAGAACCUCAUCAUGCUCCUUGAUUGUGUGCAGCAGGUGUCUGCUGAAGUCCUCCACACUCUGCCUGUGAGAAAACUGUACUACAGAAAGGUGAGCACCUUGCCCAAAGUUACGCAGAAAGUGAAAAAACAAGAAUUCUAACCCAGACAAGUAAGUUGUAUAAGCAAAUGAGGCUAAUAGAGAUGCCAACCAGGUGUUCAAAGGGUUAUAGUUACUUCUGGAAGUGAGGUGAGGCUCUGUAAUAGCUAAGACGUGAACCUGGUUCUCCAGGGUAGAGACAAGAGGCAACAAGAGAAGGGACUCUGCAAAGAAACCAGCAAUAGGUUGGGAACACAGGGAUGGAGAGCAGCCACGAGUUUACCUAGGUUGAAUUUGGAAAGUCUGUGCAGAGAAAGAUGCAGGUCCCACUGGGCAUGGUGGCUCACACCUGUAAUCCCAGCACUUUGGGAGGCCGAGGCAGGCGGAUCACUUGAGCCCAGGAAUUUGAGACCAGCCUGGGCAACAUGGUGAGACCCCAUAUCUACAAAAACUACAAAAAUUAGCUGGGCAAGGUGGCAUGCACCUGUGGUCCCAGCUACUUGGGAGGGUGAGGUGGAAGAAUUGCUUGAGCCCAGGAGGUGGAGGUUGCAGUGAGCCAUGAUCAUGCCACUGUACUCUAGCCUGAGCAACAGAGUGAGACCCAGUCUCGGGAGAAAGAGGGAAAGAAAGAAGGGAGAGAGGGAGGGAGGUAGGGAAGGAAAGAAGGAAGGAAGGAAGGAAAAAGAAAGAAGAAAGAAGGAAGGAAGAAAGGAAGGAAGGAAGGAAGAAAGAAAGAGAAAGAAAGAAAGAAAGAAAGAAAGAAGAAAGAAAGAAAGAAAGAAAGAAAGAAAGAAAGAAAGAAAGAAAGAAAGAAAGAAAGAAAGAGAAAGAAAGAAUCAUGCAGCUCCCUUAUUCCCCAGGCAUUCACUGAGCACUUAGUGUGUCAUAUGCAGGCUUUUAGGUUUAGGGUCCUGGGCAAUGAUACAGACAAGACAAACAGAGUCUCCUCCUUCAUGGAACUUACAUGAGUGGGACGGACAACAAACAAAUGGUCCAGACGAUUUCAGAUAGUGAUGAGUGUUCGGAGAACACUAAGCAGAAUGAUCUGAGUUUGCAACGGGCAUUGCAAUGCCUGCUGGGCUCCUUACCCCUCAGGACCUUUCCACUGGCUGCUCUCAAAGGCUGAAUAACCUUUGCCCUGUUGCUGCAGGGCCAGAUUCUCUUCUUGCAGGAUUCCUUUGACUAAACUGUCACCUUGUCAAAGAGGUCUGAUGCCGACUAAAAGUUCUCUGUUACUGGGCGUGCAGAGAGAAGCCUAUUGUGGCUGUAAGGAUGGGUGAAGGAGAAGGGCACAAAGUGGACAGCAGAAGCAGGAGCUGUCACACAGGCCUGGCCCAUCAUGGUGGAGAGUUUGGAUUUCAUUCUAAGCCAAAUGGGAAGUCAUUUUUCUUCUAAGCACAAGAACAACAUGACUGAAUUUAUGCUUUAAAUGAGCCACUUUGACUGCCCAGUUUCUCAACCACAUAGUCGAUAGAUAUAUAGAUGUAUAGAUGGGUAGGUUGGUAGACAGACAGACAGACAGACAGACAGACAGACAGGCAGACAGAUAGAUGUAUAUGUAGGUAGAUAGGUAGAUAGAGAGAUGAAUAGGUAGGAAGGUAGAUAGAUAGAUACAUAGAUACAUAGAGAGGUGUAUAGGUAUAGGUAGGGAGGUAGAAAGAGAGAGAGAUGUAUAGGUAGGUAAGUAGAUAGAUGUAUAGACAGAUAGAUAUAUAGAUAGAUAUAGAGAUAGAUAGAUGAUAGAUAGAUAGAUAGAUAGAUAGAUGUCUAUAGGUAGGCAGUUAGGUAGAUGGAUGCACAGAAGGAUGGACAGAUGGAUGGAGGGAUGGAGGGAUAGAUAUAGAUAGAUUUGUGAAUAUAGAUACCUAUCUGUCUCUCUCUAGCUAGAGAUAAAAUAGACAAGUGGCUUCAUGCAUCAGUAGCAUUGAAAGACACCUCGAAUGUGGCCUUACUUCAAGGUGAUGGAAUUUCUUUUUAAGCUCAGCUUCUACUUCCCUUCUGAGGAAGUUCAUGACAGGGAGCUGCUGCAACUGAUGUGACUUUCAACUCUAAUAUCCCGAUGAUGUAAAUGCACUGAUCAGCUCAGCAGGAUUUAAGGUCUCAUCCGCUGAGCAGUGCCUCCUCCCGAUUCAGCACGUCCCUGGUGCCGACUUUCUGCACGUGUUCACUUUGAGGCUGCAUUGUGGGCCUGCAAGAAAUGCAAAGCUGGUUGAGGCUUUAUUCAAUUCAAAUUCAAGCUGUUAAAUCGAGGCUCUCAGACUCCUGCUGCCUGGCCAGUGGAGAAAUUAACUUUCACAUAUGGCUUUGGGAUUUCUCUCUGUCAUCCUGGUCGACGUGUUCUCUCAUUUUUCUGAAGUCUGGGACCUCAACACAGACAUCUGGGUGAAGGCCUUGACAGCAGCGCUGGUGCAAAAUGAAUUGUCACAUCACACCCAACGUUCUCAACCUUUAGAAUCUGAAAGUAAGAAAAACACCUCAAACAUUGAUUCUGAGUAAUCAGCACAGAUUUCUAAAAGAAACUUUAUGGGAUGCUGAGACAUGAAUAAAAACAACUUUAUUCCUUUGGAAAGGACAACCCACAUGCUAAGAAGAUGACACUACACGUUGUUAUAGCCCGAAAGGCCCUCUUUCCACAGGGGAGCAGUGAAAAGUAGAGGUUGCCCAUGUGGAUUCCCAAGUCAGAUAGAUGUGGAUUCAGAUCCCAGCUCUGCUGCUUGCUACCCAAGAGACCAUGGACUGUGGACUCUUUAGGUCUCAGGGUUUUUGUUUGUUGUCUGUUUUUCACUUCCAAAACCAGAAAAUGAGAAGAUAUUUUCCAUAAGAUGGCGGUGGAGAAGAGAACUUGAUGGACCUUGCUUGGACAAAAUGCCUUCACCGCUAACUCAGUCAGCUAUGGCGAUGGGUCAAGGACCUGGUGGUUUUACAGAGAAGACCCUUGGUCAAAUCUUUGUGAAUGAAGCAACCAUUCUGAUGUUCAAUAACAGGGUAAGUGCUGGCCAAUGAUGUCAUUAUCGUCCAUCCUGUGGCUUCCACACAUCAGUGAUCUUAUUAGAUACCUGCAAUUUCAACCCACUAUAUCAGAAUUCCAUAGGAAUGAGUUGUUUUUAAAGUUCUUCAGAGUGAAUUUGGAUGCUCAGUCAUUAUAAAGAACUAUCUUCAUCCUACAAAGACUGGUGUUUUUUCUUUCCUUGUUUAUCUUGGAAUUUUUUUCCAAUUGCAGCCUUGAAAACCAUUUCCAAUAAUGUCAGAAUUUGCUUAAAAGAUUGUGAAAGACGGUAAUCUGGAUUGUAAUACUGGGUCAAAGAGACCAUACCAGGAGCCAACCAUGCUAAAUCUAACUUUAAAAUACAGAAUUACAAUGUUAAGACAAGUUCCAUAGAGUGAUAAGGUCUAUGUGGUACUUACUAUUUUACACACAUUUUCCUACACUUAGUGUAACUGUCUCCUAAUUAAAUGCAAUUGUUUUAAAUUAGCUGAUGUGUGUUUUAUGUGAUAUAGCUUUAUAUCCUAAGCCAGAAUAAAAAUAUUCUGAGAGUG
rnacentral:lncRNA from 10 species